UAAUAAGUGUUUUAUGGCACUUUUUAAAUCCAUAUCCACCUUGUGUGCAAUGUCAGUCGAUCUUCUUCAUGGAGAUCGACCAAACAUCAACCUUUAUUUUUUAACUCUUUGUCUGAAAAAUAUUAUGAAUAAACAAUUCAAAAUA
rnacentral:misc_RNA from 2 species